rnacentral:lncRNA from 1 species
GAACAGUCCAACCCAAGUUAUCUCCAACAGUGUAAGUAGUCGGAGAACGAGUUGGCCCUGAGACAGGCGCCGGAGAAGGUGAAGACGGCAAAGGAGCCGGAGAAGAACCCCGAGGGGGAGCGGCUGACGGCUGAGGAGCCGGAGACGAACCCGCAGCACUAACAUUUACCGCCAGUUUUUGCCCAGCACCACAAUGGCCGGAAAACCCACAGAUAAAAUAAUGACUCCCGGUCUCAUUGAGUGUAACAUUGGCA